rnacentral:rRNA from 1 species
UACGAAGGGGGCUAGCGUUGCUCGGAAUCACUGGGCGUAAAGCGCACGUAGGCGGCUUUUUAAGUCAGAGGUGAAAUCCUGGAGCUCAACUCCAGAACUGCCUUUGAUACUGGAGAGCUUGAGUCCGGGAGAGGUGAGUGGAAUUCCGAGUGUAGAGGUGAAAUUCGUAGAUAUUCGGAAGAACACCAGUGGCGAAGGCGACUCACUGGACACGUAUUGACGCUGAGGUGCGAAAGCGUGGGGAGCAAACAGG